rnacentral:lncRNA from 1 species
GGCUUCGCCGCUGCCUCCCUCCCUCCCUCCGCAGCUUGACCCGGUAGUGAAGGCAGAGAGAGAGGCAGGCUGGGUCCGCCUGGCAGCCUACGGGAGGAGGCGGGAGCCGGGAAGGAGGGGAGCCUAGGCCCGGCGUGGGGAGGCCGGCAGGAAGGGCCUCGAGCCCAGUGCGGACCUUUCUUCAGCCUCUGUGCGACCGAGCCGCGCGCCAGGCUCCUGUGCGAGGAGGACGCGCUGACUCCCUCCGACCUGGGCUCCGAUGGAGCAGAAAUAGCGGGACCUGGACUUGUGGCGCGCCUGGUGCCACAUCUCGGGCUCUGCGAGCGUCCUGGCGCGGGAUCCUGCCUGUUCCCUUCUUUUCGCCAGGUUUGCAUCCAAGAGAGGGGAGGACAGGGGCAAAAGGAUGCAGGGAGGCUGCUGAUUUCCACUGAAGAGCUAAUUUCCUGUGAGACAUUAACAGUGAUUUAAGAAAAAGAUUCCUGUAACUGUAAUGUCUUACAAUAACAGAAUGCAGGAGAGCACAUAUCAAUGAAGAAAAGACAAAAUGUACUUAUCCAUGAAGCUGAGGUUAAGAAACCAGUGUCUUCAAGAGCCAGGGACAGCACUGGGUCUGUGCAGAGUUGAGAGAUGGUGAUGACAUGUGGUUUCCAGCAUUCCUCACCCAGUCCAGGGACACUGUGGGUGUGCCCAGCUUAAGUCCAGUAACUGGAAAUACAAGCCCAAGUUCUGGAGAGUUUGAGCUGCAGAGAUAUAUAUGGGAACACUUUGAAUCUUGACUCAUUGGCCAUAACCAGCAGAGUGGAAAAUACAAGAAGAGAAAAAAACAUUGAACUGCGAUUUUAUAACAUCCUUUACUAGGCAGAGAGAAGAGGAAACACCAGGAAAGAAAACUGUAUUACGAUGUGAAAACUUAAUGUUGAGAAAUUCAGGCAUCUUGGGGUUAGUGAGGAGAAGUUUUAGGGGCUUAGAUUCUUCUAAACACAUGUACAGAAAUGCAUAUUUCAUCUGAUAUCAAAUGGCAUUUAUAGUGCUAAUCUUUACCUCAAGACUUCACAUCUUUUGGUGAUUGCAUCUUUUAGGUUUAUAGCAGCUAAGUUUGCAUGAAAACACCAGGGCUGUUUCAUUUCAGUCAAGAAUUAAUGUUCAUUGAUUGUGCUUCUGCAUUUCAUGUAACUAUUGUAGAAUUUGUUUUAGUUUUAUGAGGGAAUAAUUGUUCCAACUUCUAUAUAACUCAGGAAUUUACUCUCAAACAACACUGUCAAUUAGUUACUUAUCUCUCUGGAAAUGAUCUGGGAACAUGGAGAGGAAAGGGAGGAAGGGGCAAAAUCUGACCACUUAAAUCUAAGCAUAUUAGAUCAUUUUAUGCUAGAAAGUCCUGAAUGAUGUGACUUUCGUUCUUGUAAAACACCUCUUUCCAUAGAUUCAUGGCCCAAACAGUAUAUAAAGAGUGGGGAAGGAACUGCAUUUGCAAAUAGUUCAAAUCAUUGCUCCAUCUUAACUACGCAGUUCACAAAGUGUGAAGAAAUGUGAUCAUCUCAAAAAAGAUAAUGGGGAAAAAAUAUGUUUUGUUCUGUGACUUUAAAGUCUUGCAAUAUUUUACAUAAAUGAUAAUGGGUGCUUUAAUAAGAACUCUUGAUACUUUUGUUAUUGUAUUCAAUAUAUGCAUAUAAUACAACAGGAUGAUAUUGUUUUGGAUUUGGAAAUGUAUUCUUUCUUAUGCAAUCUUAUGCAGUCAUACUGCUUGAAUAUCAUUACCUGAAUUUAUCUUUCUUUUUUUUGUUGUUGUUUUACACUCUACUUAUUUGGUGCCUGUCAGUCUUUUGUCGUCAGUUUAUAUUCUACUAAACUCAAAAAGACAAUCUCAUACCUUUUGUAAUUGUAGGCAUUCUUUACUAGAUUUUUAAAUACACUUCAAAAAUUCAAGUACUUUGAUUUCAUGCCAUCAAGUAGCUGAAUCUAUCCCCCCGUCUCUUUUUAAAUUUAAGUGAGUAGUUCAAUUUCUGUCACUUUCUACUUUGUGAAUUCUAAAUCUUUUAAAACCAUCUUGCCAUUUUUCGUGCACUUACCCUUACAGAAAACUCUGUGAAACACUACUUAUCUCUACUUUUAUGUUUUUAACUCCUUUUUUAUAUUACUAUUCCCUCUGCUUUCUAAAUGCACAUAUUAAUUUGUUCUUUUUAUUCUCUGUAGCUCUUCUCAGUGUAUGAAUUCAGUUUCCCAUCAGUCUCCAUACAAUUAAAAAAAAGUUGAGUAUUCUGUUAUUUUAAUAAGAUAUCUAGUGCCCAUAUUCUAAUUCUGCCCCUUAUUUUUAAUAUAAUUUUAUUGUUGAUUUAAAAUGACAACAGUUUCAAUUCCCAGAAAGUGAAAGGAAACAAAGGAAUAAUAUUAUAGGCUUAAUUUUUAUCAGUGAACUUGUAGGUGAAGAAAAGAUUUGGGGAAGGAAAUGAACAUAUUAUAUUGCAAAAUAGUAAGGAACAAUCAGAUGUGUUUUCUAGUCUCUGGAAAAGCAUGUUUCAAGAAAUUCAAUGAAAAGUUCAUCAUGCUUGCUUAGAUUGUUGAGAAGCAAAAACACUGAUGAACAUUUGGAAGCAAUGAGAAUGUAAUUCUAAUCAUACUCUUUUAAUAAUGUUGCAAAACUCUCCAAACACUACUCUGUGUGGAUGUCUUUCAGAAUAUGAUGAAUACUAGUAGUCUUAUUCUGCCCUUUUCUCUCUAUCACAAUAUAUACAUUCUAUAUUGCAUACACAUAUUUUCCAAAUAUUACAUAUAAUUUCAUGUAAUUUAUAGACCUAUUAAGGCCCAACCAUUUUCUUGGAUAGGGGAUUCUUUAGAAGUCCAGCUUAAAUAAAGCCCGUAUAGAAAGUUUUUUUAAAAUUUAUACAUAAUCACCUAAAGUAACCUUAUCUACUGAACUCUUAGUACAUGCUACUGGAACCUUUUAUCAUGUUUCUUCCUGGCUUGCAUUACAACACUGUUGACAUAUCUCAGCCUUACUUCUAGGCUUCUUUGAGAGCAUGACUCAUGUUUGUAUUCCUCACUGAGGUUGAAUGAAUAAGAGAAACUACAGUAGUAGGAAAAAACAGUACAUGUACAUAUCAAUGAAUAUGAAAGGGUCAAAUGGAUCUAUUAUAGUAAGCACAAAAUCAACUGACACCAGCAAAGUAAACCCAAAAUUUUUAAUGGUAUUUUAAUAGAUCAAGAGGAGCAAGCAGAUUUUUGAGACAGUUGUCUCCUACUUUCUCUAUCACAGGGAGUAAUUUUAAAAGAAAAAUGGAGGGUAAGUUUCUUUAAGAGAAAAUUGUAGUUUAAAACAGGUCAUGGGAUAAUUAGAAAUAAUUUAAUUUCUUUAGAGGAUUUUAAUCUUUCAACUGCUUGCAAUUAGAUCCUAAGGCAAUAAAAGAAUAAGGAGAUUUGGAAAACCAUUGUCUGUAAUCUCUGAAGAAAAGUGGACAUUAGGGGAGUCAGUUGAAAAGCAAAGCUAUCACCAUUUUCUAAAGAGGAAAAAGGUGAACCUCACAAACUAUAGACCAAAAAAAUAGGACAUCGAGAGAAAGAAUAUGAAGCUAGCAUAGGUUCACAAAGAAUGAGUCAAAUCAAACAACAUGCAUUUUUUAUUUAUAAAGCAUGACUUGUUCAUUGUCAAUUCAUGUUAGCUUAAUCAUUAGGCAUUAAUGCCAUCACUGCAAUGCAUAUGUCAGCAAUAAAUAAUCAAAGACCAGGCUUCCAUCAUUCUGUUUAAUAUCUUCAAGUAAUGCUUAAGUUUGCAAAUGCUCUUUUAACACAUUCUCCAUAUGCAGCCUGCCCAGCACUGCACACAAUAGACCUGUUACUUCCCCCUCACGAGCACUCCUAAUAUUUCAUGUGCUCAUCCAAUUGACUUCUCCCACUGGUGCCUCAUAUUGAAUUUGUAGAAUCACACCUGCUCCUUUUUCAAAACUCUUCUGAGUUUUUUCUUAAAUAAUUCACUGACCCCAAAGUUGUCAGAUAUUUGAAGACUACUCGCACAAUUUUAAUAUUAUAAAUGUAUAAUGUAAAUGUAAUUAAGAUUUGUAUAAUGUACGAUGUACUUUGGUAAAUAAAAGUAUGCUGUGAAUAAAUACGUAUGAUACAAUUCAAAAUUUUACAUAAAUAUGUGAUAAAAUUUAGCUCAUAUUCUUUUUUUUUUUCUUUGAGACGGAGUCUCACUCUGUUGCACCCAGGCUAGAGUGCAGCAGCAUGAUCUCAGCUCACUGCAACCUCUACCUCCUGGGUUCAAACAAUUCUCCUGCCUCAGCCUCCUGAGUAGCUGGGAUUACAGGUGCCCGCCACCAUGCCCAGCUAAUUUUUUUCUAUUUUUGUUGUUGUUGUUGUUUUUAGUAGAGACGGGGUUUCACCAUGUUGGUCAGGCUGGUCUUGAACUCCUGACCUCAGAUAAUCCACCUGCCUCGGCCUCCCAAAGUUCUGGGAUUACAGACGUGAACCACGGUGCCCGGCCUAGUUCAUGUUCUUUAAGGACAAUUAUGAAUAUUUUUAUGCACUGUUAAUUUUCAUUAAGAUAUUGAUCAAUUAAUAGCUAUAUAUGUUCUAUAAAUUAAUCCUAUCUAGUUUCAAUCUUAAAUUGUUUGCAUAUACCAAUCUAGUUUAUUGUUUGCAUAUAUUUUAUAGUGUAGAGAUUAGGCAUUUUAAUAAAAUUUUAAAAUUUCCAGGACAUACUGUUAAUGACUAUGCUUCCUACUAUAGGCCAUAAUUAAUUUUUUUCUAUUGUCAACAAUAUUUUGGUAGGGAUGAUCAGGAAAUAAGGAAAUGUUUCCUUCAUUUGUUAACAAUAGGUGUUUGGGGAUUUUAAAAUGAAAAUUGAAGAAGUAAAAGACACCAUAUAUUUAGUUUGUUUGAUUUCGUGGCUUCAAGAGUUCAAUAAUUUAUUGAAAUAUUUUACAGACCAAAGAACAACAGAUAUAUUACGUUUAUAAGCCCCCACAUAUUUUAAAGGAUAAUGGUUUAUAUAUGAAAAUUCCCUGAACCUACACUUCAUCAGGAAAAGCUAAAUAAAAGAAGUUUACAUUUCCUAGGACUAAUGGAGAUUUAUUUCCCAGUCCUCUUCUCUGGAGACAAAUGUAGGUCUCUCUUGAAAAGCAGAAAGUUUUGCAUAUGAGGUAUGAUUUAGUGGGCUAGAAACAUCUUUUCCACCCUCCCCAAAAUGUUUCACUAUGUUUUAUCAUACUAUCUGAUAAUUUUGCACUAAAGUUUUCUUUCUGUGUUAAGAAAAUGCAAAUAUCUCUGAAUGGGUCUCUUUGCUUUAGUCAUACUCAUAUGGCUACUACUGAACAAAAUAUGUUCAUUACAGGAUGAAGGGAAUGUUGCCAGCCAGCAAAUCCCUAGAGUUUGCACUACACCAAACGUUGCUUAGCAAUUUCCACGAUUUUCUCAGUCUAAUUUGCAAGAAUCAAGGAGAUGUUUGUGUAUGCUACAUGAAGUUGUAAAAUUGGUAUUUAUUGUAUGUUUCUAUAUCGAAAGCUUUACAAACAAAGGAAAUGGAAAGUUAACAGGUGGAUAUGAUAGUGUGGCACUACUUUAGCUGGAUGGUAAGGGAGAGCUUCUCUUAGGAAGUGUUUUAGGCCAGGACUUGAAUAAUGAACAGUAUCUAGUUGUACAAAAAUCUGGAGGAAAGACUUUUCAGGCCCAGGAGAAAUGAAAAUUCUUUUCAUGCAUACAAGAAUGAAAGUGAAAAUUACCUACUCUAUGUCCUGAAGUGGGAAGUUGGCUUGCCAGAGAGUAGGUAAUUUUCACUUUGAUUCUUUCAUGCCUUCAGUUAUACUACUUCUUAGGUUAGUUCAUAAGGGUUUCCACAAUUUGGUUCCCACUUAAAAUUUAAAACUUCCCUAACCCAUUCCCACCAUAUAUUGUGCUAAUCCAUGCAUAUGUGACUUUGCGUAUGCUGUUUUCAUUGUUUAAUAUUCUUCUCAUGCAUUCGUUCUUUCCUGAUAACGAACUCAUCUUUGAAACUCCCCUUCAAGCAUCCUCUACUUUAGGAGGCCGCUUCUCACUGUCUCCUGCCUACCACCCAUUGAAUUGUUCAAUUUUUAAGCUGCCAUUGUCUUGUGCAGUUGACACAUUUCUUUGCAAUUACUGAUUUACAUGUCUGCUUUUAUCACUGGUGAGGUUCUUUAGGACAGAGACAUUAUUAAUUCAUCUCUGGGCACAUAUGUUCCAACAUAUUAGAAGUACUACAGAGUGCUAUUACUAUGUAGUAUGUAGUAUUAGUAGUAGUUACUCACAAAUCAUUUUUAAAUAAGUGAUUAUAAUAUCUUUUUGUUAUUAUGAUUUAACACAAGAUGGAAUUUAUUUUCAGAAGUUUCCAUGAUAUAUUUGUUCUAUUUAAAAUCCAAUAGCCAUUAGAAUAUUACCAUUAUUUAAUGUAAAACAAUAAAAUAUUAAAUAUGAUCGUUCAUAUUUAAUGCAAACCGAACUCAUGGAAAUAUUGUGUAAAGAUCAAGUAAUUUUUGACAUACAAUUUUAAACUCAACUUUUCAUAUAGCAUACCUUAUGAUAUAUUUUCAGCCUACUUUUAAAUAUGUUGGCAUUGAAAGCCAGUUACUAAUUCGCUGAAUUCAUGAUUUCUUUUUAAGUUAUAGAAGUGGAAUUAUGUUUGAGAUAUUCAUUGCAUUACAUUUACCAGAACUUGAGUUCUUAACAUGGAACCUGAGAGUUUCUCCAAUUCUUAAGUCCCUGGGAGAAAUAGAUUAGCUGGAUGAGGAACUGAGAGGAAAAAUGGUCAGAGAUGUAGCAAGAGUUGGGAAGAAGGAACAAUGAUUUGCUUUCAAGGAGAUUUUUUCAUUGGUCUGUUUUCAGUGACAAACCCACUGCGAUAAUACAUGUAAAGUGAAAACAUUCAGGAAGUUCCCUUAGAAACCUCUUUUCUGGCAGUUCCUAAUUCUACAACAUUGUAUAAGUGAAAUACCAUAGUUACUGUCAUAGUAAAUUGAGCCAAGAGAAACAAGGGAGCAGGAGAAGAAAAGAAUUAAAGAGAGUUUUGUCUUUCAGUCUUCACUCUGUUUCUUCUUGCUUUUACCAGUCAUUCAGGUUUAUAUAAUUUCUUUAGAGAGGCUUCUACUAUGCAGGUCUUCCUUAAAGUCAUUGGUAUUACCUGGCAUGAUAUGUGAGCCUUUAAUAUCAGUCCCUUUAUCUCUUUAUUUUUAAAGUUUAUAUCAGUACAGAGUCCUGGAUUCUUAAUUAAUUUAAUAGGUUAGACUUUAUGCUAAUAUUCUUCAUUUUGAUGCUCAAAUUUUCCAAAAUUUGGCCAGCAGGGUUCCUUAAAGCUGGGUACCUUGCCCUUUCAACAUGUCCCUCUGAUUCUUUAUUUUUAUUUACUUAUUUAUUUAUUUAUUUAUUUAUUUAUUUAUUUAUUUAUUUAGAGACUGAGUCUUGCUCUGUCUCCCAGCCUGGAGUGCAAUGGCACAAUCUUGGCUCACUGCAACCUCUAUCUCCCAGGUUCAAGCAAUUCUCCUCCCUCAGCCUCCCGAGCAACUGGGACUACAGGCAUGUGCAACCAUGCCUGGCUAAUUUUUUUUGUAUUUUUAGUAGAGACAGGCUUUCACCAUGUUGGUCAGGCUGGCCUCGAUCUCCUGACCUCAAAUGAUCCAUCGCCUCGGCCUCCCAAAGUGCUGGGAUUACAGGCGUGAGCUGCCACACCCAGCCGUCCCUCUCAUUCUUUAAGUACUUCCAUGUUUUCUAAGGUACAAGAUGUUCCAUAUUAUUUUGUUAUUUGUCUUCCCCAGCUCUGAAAUCUGCCUUUCCUUCAAGGAGCCUUGGUUCUUUCUAGUGACAAAUUAUAUUUAGAAAGAAGAUCUGGGUAUUUGACUUGUAUAUUGCUAUUAAUUGGCCAUUGUUUCUAGUCUCUUUCAGUAGACAGAGCUAAGAAAUGUAAAAGGAAAUAUUUGAAUGUAUGUAUAUGUGAUAUAUUAAGUACAUUUAAACAUAUUAAAUUCAUGAGUUCAUACUAAUACUUUCAAUAAGCCACAAUUCCCUUUUCAUGUUUUCGAAGGAAAAAUAUCCAUUGUCUAUAUACAGUGGACAUAGAUAGUAAUAAUACUGAUCUUGAAAAGAGCAGUCUUAAAUAGAUCCCAUUAAUAGUUAAAGAUAACAUAUCUUAGAAUUCUAGAUAUUAGAGAGAUUAUCUAGAGCUGUAAUCUAGAUAUUUUAUAGAUCUUUGCUGUGCUGUUUUGAAUUUGUGUUGGAGUAGAACAAUCAGAUGACAAAAGCUCAUCCCACAUGGAAAAAUCAAAGCAUUCAUUACAGAGAGAAUUUUGAAAUAAAUGCAUAUAUAAAAAAUAUAUAUGCAUAUAUAAUGCAUAUGUAUAUGCAUAUAAAAUAUAUAUAUAUAAAAUGAGGGUUAUAAACAAUGAAGGAAAUAGUGAUACUAUCUAUGUGGGAACAAUACUAGUAUCCUCCCUUUGGAUGAAUACAGUAGCUACAGAUGCAAUUCUGGGGACUCUGUUUAGCAAUAGCUUAACUAUUGCUUGGCUACAAGCAUGGAUAACUUGUUCAAAGAUAAUGAGGAGUUGUAAAUAUUUAAAUAAACAGGAUUUGCAACAUAAAAAGCUUUGUGACUAUGUGUCUGAAUUCUUAGAGUUUUCUCCCAGCAAGACCUUGGAUGUGGCAGACUUUUCUGUAAUUGUCCAUCUCGCCCCUAUUUCAUGAAAAGCCAGAGCUUCUCUACUUAGUUUGCUAACCCCAAAUAUAUAAAUUCAAUAGAAGUACUAGCCUGUUUUUACUGGUUUAUUUGCUUUAUCUAAAAAAAACAAGGCAUAGUUUAAAGUCUGUUUUUGAUAGCAUAACAAAACAAAGGUUCUCAUUUUAAUAAUGCAUCACAUAUACACUUGGUAACUAUUGCAUAGUAAUAAUUUAAUAACUUGAGAAAUAUAUUUAUGCAUGUAUGUGUAUAUGUUCAUAUAUAUGUUAUUUUUAAUUCAGAAGUAAAACAAAUAUUGGAAGAGGCCACAGUUAUUAUAAAAAUAAUUUGACCAGUAUUGGACAAUGCAAAUAGCAAUCAUUUAGAAGUUUCU